GGCUGGUUGGAUAGCAGUUGGUGAUCAGAACUUAUUAGCACUGGUGUCACUAAAUUAAUUUGGUAUACAACCCCCCACUGCUAAAUUUGAUUGGUUUUAA
rnacentral:Y_RNA from 1 species